ensembl:lncRNA
GGGUGUGCAGGGGGGUGGCUCAGGCAGGUUGAAGAUGCCUGGACCUCGGGCUGGGUUCCCCACUCUGCCCUUCCCACCCUCCCCAGCCUUAGACUUUGGUCCAAACCUCACUGUGCCCCCACCCCAGGGACUUGGAGAUCCAGGAGUGCCACUUCCUGGAUAAGGAAGAUUGGGGCCCCCAGCAGACCUCGAAGGAAAUGAGCCAUUUGCAUAAUAUCUGCAUGAGGUGAGCCGGGCAGGGGCAGGUGGGGCAGGUACUAUGACAAGGCUUUCCCCAACACAGGUCAGGGUCUGGGGCUGGACAGCUAUGGCUUUGCGCCUGGCCCUCUUCCUUCCCUCCUUCCCUUGCCUUCUCUCUCUUCUGCCCUGGAUGACUUCCUUACCGGCCAGCAGGUCCCCUCCCUCCCAAGCAUCAGUGUCCUUGUAUGUGAGCAGGACCUGCCCCACGGGACUGGGGGCCAUAGCUCUUUCCCAUCGAUGUCUGGCUCCGGGAGUCGCUGAGCUCUAUCCAAGCAGACAACCUGGCUCUGGGGGAGAAGCUGCAAGACCUGCCCAACUCCUUGUAUAUGAGCCUAAAGGAGAAAGCGAAGUGCAUCCUGGAGCGAGAGAGCGCCGUGGAGGAGGGAGCCCAGGGCGGCCAGGAGGGGGCGCUGUGCCAGGUACCGGGUCCUCCCCCAGUCCUGGGUGGGGAGAGAUGUGUUUGCCCCGCGUGGCUCACUCUGCUCCCCUUGCCGGCAGCCACCCGGCUCCCAGAAGGCCGAACUCGUCACCCUGCAGCCUGACACUCCCCGAGAUCACGGAGACCGAUGUCUGCCCUAGCCGGGACACCCCCCCGGGAAGCCGUUCAGGCCGCUCCUCUCCCCCUCCCGCAGUAAACUUCUCCGCAGCUGGGUCGCGGCUCCCCGCCUGUCUGUGGGCCCUGGGAACCGGGAGGCGCAGGCACCAAGCAUGGUCCCUAGGCCAUCCUGUCGCAUCCCCCUCCCACAUCCGUUGGCUGGCCCCGGCUGCCCCGAGGAGGGUCCAGGCUGGUUGGUAUCAGUCUCAAAAUCAGCGUCCCGGUGAUAAGGGCUGGGGUGGGACUGGGAGGGGGCCGCACCCACGGCUGGGAGCUGGAGAGGACGGAAGCACCAGGUCUAACUCCAAAGGGCAGAAGACUAGGGAGGGGCGGGAAGACAAGUCUCUUCCUCUUUGUCAGCCACGGGGGAGGGGGUAGUGAGACCCCCCCUCCCCAAGGGCCCAACACCCAAACAAUUUCAGGCCUGGAGAUGCUUCUAGAAUUUGAAUUCCUACUCCCACCUCCAGCCAGGGUCUCCCAGGGCCUCCCUGGAGACCUGCACCCCUCCACCAAUGGGGUGAUCCCUGUUCUGGGCCACAGAUCCAACGCCCCACCCAUCCAUAGGCCUGCAUAUCCAGCUGUGGCCACUGUGCCCUGGUCACCAUCAGGCCUUCAGGGCUUGUGCCCAUCAGCCUUGCUGCCCUCAGACUCUGACCAGCUCUGGGGAGCCUUUCUAGGCAUCCCCUGACUCCUGAUAAAACGAGAAAGAGACACAGAGACACGCAGAGAAUGUAUAGAUAGAAUAUUAAAACAAACUUAGAAAUUAUUCCCAUACAACUAGACAAGGAGCCUGCUUUAGAUUUUGUUUUUUUAACUUCCUAUUGAGGGAGCUGACAGCCAGCAAUGACAAAGCCAGUUUAAAGGUGGAGGAGUUCCUGUCGUGGCUCAGUGCUUGGCGAAUCCAACUAGGAACCAUGAGGUUGCAGGUUCGAUCCCUGGCCUCACUCAGUGGGUUAAGGAUCCGGCGUUGCCAUGAGCUGUGGUGUAGGUCGCAGAUGUGGCUCAGAUCCUGCGUUGCUCUGGCUGUAGUGUAAGCCAGCAGCUACAGCUCCGAUUAUACUCCUAGCCUGGGAACCUCCACAUGCUGUGGGUGCAGCCCUAAAAAAGACAAAAAAGAAAGAAAGAAAGGAAGGAAGGAAGGAAAGAAAGAGAAAGAAAGAAAAGAAAGGGAGAAAGAAAGAAAGGUGGAUACAAGAAAAAUAACACACAAGAGUUCCCAUUGUGGCUCAGUGGGUUAAGAACCCAACAUAGUGUCUCUGAGGAUGCAGGUUUGAUCCCUGGCCUCACUCAGUGGGUUAAGGAUCCAGCAUUGCCACAAUCUGUGGUGUAGGUCACAGCUGCAGCUUGGAUCCAGCUUUGCCGUGGCUGUAAUGUAGGCUGGCAGCUGCAGCUCUGAUUUGACCCUUAGCCCAGGAACUUGCAUAUGUUGCAGCACGUGAGGUCACAAAAGGAAAAAAAGAAAAAGAAAAUAACACAUACAUAUAUAUUUAAGGGAGGGAAAUAGAAGACGUCUCCAAAUAAGAUUGCUAUUAUCAGGAGUUCCUGUCGUGGUGCAGCGGAAAAGAAUCUGACUAGGAACCUGGAGCCAUGAAGUUGCGGGUUCAAUCCCUGGCCUUGCUCAGCAGGUUAAGGAUCAGCUGUGGUGUAGGUUGCAGAUGCGGCUCAGUUCCUGUGUUGCUGUGGCUGUGGCGCAGGCCGGCAGUUGUAGCUCUGAUUCGCCCCCCCUCAGCCUGGGAACCCUCUAUAGAGCAAAAAAAAAAAAAAAAAAAAAGAUUGCUAAAUCAGAUAGUCAAUAUCCUAUAGAGCAAUGCUUUCAAAGCCCCGUAACCCUAAGGGUAGUAUGAUUUACUGGGUGGAAUCCUCUAGUGUAACAUGGAAAGAACCGUGACCAGCUUUCUGUCUUAUGCCCGUGACAGAGGGACACUAGCCAAGAGGGUGGGAAUUCAGGUUUGUGGCCCCUUGUCAGACCCGCUAUGACUUACACCAGCCCUGCAGGAUCCUGCCCAGGCCCCAAACUGAUGACAGACUUGCUUAGUGAAGGUUUGAUUUGGUCACAGCUUCAGGCUGAGCUGAGCUCUGCCAGAGCAGCCCUCCCCUCCCAAGACUCCACUCUCCUUCCCUGGAUGCGCAGGGGUCCCCGGCGCAUCCCCCCACCCACUUCCUGAUCAGCUCUUGACCAGCAGCCUAGCUGACCAGUGACCCGGCCGUACAAACAGAUGUCUUCCCUUUCUGUGAAGGGACUCAUCUGAUUGAAGGGGAUAGGUGGACCAACAGCUAAAGGGUUAAAUCAAAGCAGUUGAACCACUUAAGGACUUCUAUCAACAAGAUGCAGUCAGAGUUCCCACUGCGGCACAGUGGGUUAAGGAUCUGAAUGCAGGGGCUUGGGUUGCUGAGGAAGUAUGGGUUCAUCCCCAGCUCGGCACAGUGGGUUAGACAAUUCAGUGUGGCUGUGGCCAUGGUGUAGGUCGCAGCUGCAGCUUGGAUUCAAUCCUUGGUCUGGGAACUUCCAUAUACCUCAGGUACGGCCAUAAAAAAAGAGCAAUAAAUCAAAACAAAACAAAACUCCCCCAAAAGACAAGAGAGUCAUCAGCACGGUCCCAUUUGGUAGGUGGCCGUUUCAGUAGGCAAAGAAACUUACACACGAGACUUGUCUUGGAUGCCACAAGACUGGUUGAUCUCUGCAUCCGCCCUUGAGAAUCUUGAAAAUGUAUAUAGAAGGUUUAACUGGGUUCAGUCCAUGGUCUCAACACCAGCUUCCUCUCUCAAGGCUGCAUCCUUAAAUCAGCUCCUAGUGUGAGACACUCUGAGGACAGGGGAGGGGGUGAGGAGCCCCCAGCUGCCCGGGUCUAGCUCGCAGGUCCACCAGCUGUCACGUCCUCUUGAUGACCUCUGCCAACAGUCUGUAAUUAAUACCCUUCAUAUAAAUGGAAUUCUACAGUGUGGUAUCCUUUGUGUCUGACUUCAUUUGCUUAUUUAUUUAUUUAUUUAUUUAAUGCCGGGUCCGAGCUGCAUCUGCGACCUACACCACAGCUCACGGCAACACUGGAUCCCCAACCCACUGAGCGAAGCCAGGGAUUGAACUUGCAUCCACUUGGAUACUAGUGAGAUUCGUUUCCACUGCGCCACGACGGGAACUUCCUUGUUGGCUCAUCUUUAUGUCUUCAAGGUUCAUCCCUGUUGUUACAGGUAAGAGUAUGUAAAAGUAGUGUGUUCUUUUUAUUGCUGUAUAACUAUUCCAUCACUCAUUAAAAAAAAAAAAAAAAAAGAAAGGCUUCUGGACUUGCCGUGUGGCUCACAACAACAAAAAGUCUUCCUCUGAAAACCUCCAACGUCNAAAAAAAAAAAAAAAAGAAAGGCUUCUGGACUUGCCGUGUGGCUCACAACAACAACAAAAAGUCUUCCCCUGAAAACCUCCAAUGUCUCAGCUUGGGAAAUCGAGCACAUGUGGCUGCAGCGAUAAUGCUCAGCUGCUGAGUUCUCCCGCGGUGCAGGGGUGUAAGGAUGCAGCA